GGAGGAUAAUGUGAAUCUUAUUCAUUAUUGCAAUUUGUCUUAAGUUUUCUAGACUUGAUGAUGAUAGAAGAGUGGUGUGGUAAAGUAACUUCAAAGGUGAAGUUGUUGUGGGGGAUGUUUCCAAAUUUGGCUUUUUAGAUUAGUUUUGGAAAACAGCCAGACCAACUUUUUAUGGGUUAUAAACUCCUAUGAAAGGUAUGUUGUUAAAGUUUUAUGGAGUUGGGACUUGGGAUAGGCAUUUAUAAAUUAUUUGGGGAGAAAGGGUAGAAAGCAUAUAAUGGAAUAGAACUCCCAUGGGGGAUAUGCUGUUUAAGGUUUUAUGGAGUUGGGAUAGGCAUAAGACUAUCCCUCACACACCCCAUCAGUGUACUCACUGCCCCCAGGCUGCUCAAGCUGGAAGAAAAUACAACUCAAUUCUUUACACCCCUCUGCCCUUCCCCAUCUAUCUAUUUAUAUUUUUCUUUUCAGCAGCUGCACAUGUCCUUCCAAGAAUUACUCUUAACAGAUUGUAGCACAGCUGGCCUUCUUUGCUCUUCUAGAAUAAUGGUUUAGCAUUUUUCUUUAAAGUUAACUUGAUUUCAUAAACAGAACUCUUAUGUCAAUAAACUCUUAUGUUCAUUCUUAGAUCUCUGCAACUGAAAACUACUAGUUUCUCUGUGGUUAGGCGUAUCUCUUUACUUUUAAUUGUGUGUAUGUUAUGGAUUUCGUUUUUGAAGUUCGAUAAAAAUAUUGAUUUUACUGCUAUUAAAUACAUCACUGGUCUUUGGGGUUUCCUUGUUCUCCACACAUACCAAAUGAGAAUAGUAAUUUUUUGGAUGAAUCCAUGUUGCUUUGUCAUGUAUAUUUGAAUUUCUUUCUUAGAGCUGUAUGCAUGAGGCAUGGGAGCCCUGGAACAUGUGGAAUAGGAAAGAUGCCACAAUUUCUAAUUUUUGGGAUGAACAGAUUUUGAACUUGUAAAAUAAGCUACAGUUUGAUGGCUUAUAUAUAUAUAUAUAUAAUUGU
rnacentral:misc_RNA from 1 species